GAUGAACGCUAGCGGCAGGCUUAACACAUGCAAGUCGAGGGGUAUAGUUCUUCGGAACUAGAGACCGGCGCACGGGUGCGUAACGCGUAUGCAAUCUACCUUUUGCAGAGGGAUAGCCCAGAGAAAUUUGGAUUAAUACCUCAUAGUAUGUGAGAAUGGCAUCAUUUUCACAUUAAAGUCACAACGGCAAAAGAUGAGCAUGCGUCCCAUUAGCUAGUUGGUAAGGUAACGGCUUACCAAGGCAACGAUGGGUAGGGGUCCUGAGAGGGAGAUCCCCCACACUGGUACUGAGACACGGACCAGACUCCUACGGGAGGCAGCAGUGAGGAAUAUUGGACAAUGGGCGCAAGCCUGAUCCAGCCAUGCCGCGUGCAGGAUGACGGUCCUAUGGAUUGUAAACUGCUUUUGUACAGGAAGAAACACUGGUUCGUGAACCAGCUUGACGGUACUGUGAGAAUAAGGAUCGGCUAACUCCGUGCCAGCAGCCGCAGUAACAC
rnacentral:rRNA from 1 species